UGAGUAGAAAAGUGGGGUACAAAUUAAAAGAAUGGAAUUGCUCCAGAUUUCAUCCAAAGUCUUAAACUGCUUUCUAGUUCAGGGCUGCAAAACAAUGGCUAAAUAGUUAUGACCCAGAUGGUGGCUAAGCAGAUUUUUCAUAUUCAUCAAUGCAGCAAGAAAAGAAGAAAAAUAAGUAGGAUACUAAAAUGGGUACAGUAAGUGCCCAACCUCAGCUUCAAACUGCAAGUCCAUGCCUUGAGUUUUGCUCUGGAAAUUUAACAGAGGCUUCUGGAGGAGGUAUGGAGAACUGAAGGCAUCUCUGUGAAAGUGGAGCUGGCAACCACGGCAAAGACCAAGGAACUGAAACUGGACACUAAAGGGGACUAAAGAUUCUAAGCAGAAGAAAAAAAUAAUCAGAAGCCUGUUCUUUAUGUCAGUUAAUGCUUGGACUUACAAAAUGACACAAAAUGUGACAUUGGAAAUAUUAGAUGAGAUCUUUGAAGAAUAGAGCCAGGAAUUAGUAACCACAAUAUCAACACUGUCAGUGAUGAUGUCUGCUUCUAUGGAUAGACUAUAUCCAAAAGCUGUUAAUGAAGGAAUGAAAGAUGUGGAACAAAUUUUAUCUGACAAGACAGAGAAAGUACGGAAAGUGGAACUACAAUUACAGGCCAAGAGAAUUAUUUGGAAAAGGAAGUUUUACUGGAUAUACAAAAGAAACUGGCUGAAGUUUUAAAAAUUAAAAGGGAAAUACAAAUGAUAAACCAAGAGAAUGACCUGGCAAAUGUUUUCUUAUUGGAUCUACAAAAGAGGCUUGUUAAAGCCUUGAAGAAAUCUGUGUUGUGGGAUUAAGAAGAAUUGAAGAGAAAUCAAAUCCUAUGACAAUAUUUGAUUGGAUUAAAGAUUAAGACUGUUAGAAGUAAAAGGAAGGAAUACAAAGUUGUUUUAUUUGAUCAAGGUUAAAAUAAGACUUUUUUUUUUUUUUUGCAAAGUUCCGGCAAUCUUUUAUGGAGUUUUUGCUGACACCAGGAUUGAAAAGUUGAUAUUUUAUAGAUUUGCUUAUAGAUAA